CGGUAACAUUUCUAGCUUGCUAGAAGAUGACGAGUGGCGGACGGGUGAGUAAUACUUAGGAAUAUGCCUUUGUGUGGGGGAUAACUAUUGGAAACGAUAGCUAAUACCGCAUAACGUCUUCGGACCAAAGGGGGCUUCGGCUCCCGCGCAAAGAGUAGCCUAAGCGAGAUUAGCUUGUUGGUGAGGUAAAGGCUCACCAAGGCGACGAUCUCUAGCUGUUCUGAGAGGAAGAUCAGCCACACUGGAACUGAGACACGGUCCAGACUCCUACGGGAGGCAGCAGUGGGGAAUAUUGCACAAUGGGGGAAACCCUGAUGCAGCCAUGCCGCGUGUGUGAAGAAGGCCUUCGGGUUGUAAAGCACUUUCAGUUGUGAGGAAAGGUUAACGGUUAAUACCCGUUAGCUGUGACGUUAGCAACAGAAGAAGGACCGGCUAACUCCGUGCCAGCAGCCGCGGUAAUACGGAGGGUCCGAGCGUUAAUCGGAAUUACUGGGCGUAAAGCGCACGCAGGCGGUUUGUUAAGCUAGAUGUGAAAGCCCUGGGCUCAACCUGGGAAUUGCAUUUAGAACUGGCAGGCUAGAGUUUUGGAGAGGGGAGUGGAAUUCCAGGUGUAGCGGUG
rnacentral:rRNA from 1 species